rnacentral:rRNA from 1 species
GAUGAACGCUGGCGGCGUGCCUAAUACAUGCAAGUCGAGCGAACAGACGAGGAGCUUGCUCCUCUGACGUUAGCGGCGGACGGGUGAGUAACACGUGGAUAACCUACCUAUAAGACUGGGAUCACUUCGGGAAACCGGAGCUAAUACCGGAUACUAUAUUGAACCCCAUGGUUCAAUAGUGAAAGACGGUUUUGCUGUCACUUAUAGAUGGAUCCGCGCCGCAUUAGCUAGUUGGGAAGGUAACGGCUUACCAAGGCAACGAUGCGUAGCCGACCUGAGAGGGUGAUCGGCCACACUGGAACGGAGACACGGUCCAGACUCCUAAGGGAGGCAGCAGUAGGGAAUGUUCCGCAAUGGGCGAAAGCCUGACGGAGCAACGACGCGUGAGUGAUGAAGGUCUUCGGAUCGUAAAACUCUGUUAUUAGGGAAGAACAAAUGUGUAAGUAACUAUGCACGUCUUGACGGUACCUAAUCAGAAAGCCACGGCUAACUACGUG